GACGAACGCUGGCGGCGUGCCUAAUACAUGCAAGUCGAGCGCAGGAAACUGACGGAACUCUUCGGAGGGAAGGCAGCGGAAUGAGCGGCGGACGGGUGAGUAACACGUAAGGAACCUGCCUCAAGGAUUCGGAUAACUCCGAGAAAUCGGAGCUAAUACCGGAUAGUUCAACGGGCCGCAUGGUCCGCUGAUGAAAGGCGCUCCGGCGUCACCUUGAGAUGGCCUUGCGGUGCAUUAGCUAGUUGGUGGGGUAACGGCCCACCAAGGCGACGAUGCAGAGCCGACCUGAGAGGGUGAUCGGCCACACUGGGACUGAGACACGGCCCAGACUCCUACGGGAGGCAGCAGUAGGGAAUCUUCCACAAUGGACGAAAGUCUGAUGGAGCAACGCCGCGUGAGUGAUGAAGGUUUUCGGAUCGUAAAACUCUGUUGUAAGGGAAGAACACGUACGAGAGGGAAUGCUCGUACCUUGACGGUACCUUACGAGAAAGCCACGGCUAACUACGUGCCAGCAGCCGCCGUAAGAC
rnacentral:rRNA from 1 species